rnacentral:tRNA from 1 species
GGGGCUGUAGCUCAGUGGUAGAGCACUCACCUUACAUGUGUGAAGCACUGUGUUCAAUCCAGUGCACCACUA